AGAGUUUGAUCCUGGCUCAGGACGAACGCUGGCGGCGUGCCUAAUACAUGCAAGUCGAACGAAGCUUUCUUUCACCGAAUGCUUGCAUUCACCGAAAGAAGCUUAGUGGCGAACGGGUGAGUAACACGUAGGCAACCUGCCCAAAAGAGGGGGAUAACACUUGGAAACAGGUGCUAAUACCGCAUAACCAUGAACACCGCAUGAUGUUCGUGUAAAAGACGGCCUUUGCUGUCACUUUUGGAUGGGCCUGCGGCGUAUUAACUUGUUGGUGGGGUAACGGCCUACCAAGGUGAUGAUACGUAGCCGAACUGAGAGGUUGAUCGGCCACAUUGGGACUGAGACACGGCCCAAACUCCUACGGGAGGCAGCAGUAGGGAAUCUUCCACAAUGGACGAAAGUCUGAUGGAGCAACGCCGCGUGAAUGAAGAAGGCCUUCGGGUCGUAAAAUUCUGUUGUCAGAGAAGAAUGUGCGUGAGAGUAACUGUUCACGUAUUGACGGUAUCUGACCAGAAAGCCACGGCUAACUACGUGCCAGCAGCAGCGGUAAUACGUAGGUGGCAAGCGUUGUCCGGAUUUAUUGGGCGUAAAGGGAACGCAGGCGGUCUUUUAAGUCUGAUGUGAAAGCCUUCGGCUUAACCGAAGUAGUGCAUUGGAAACUGGAAGACUUGAGUGCAGAAGAGGAGAGUGGAACUCCAUGUGUAGCGGUGAAAUGCGUAGAUAUAUGGAAGAACACCAGUGGCGAAAGCGGCUCUCUGGUCUGUAACUGACGCUGAGGUUCGAAAGCGUGGGUAGCAAACAGGAUUAGAUACCCUGGUAGUCCACGCCGUAAACGAUGAGUGCUAAGUGUUGGAGGGUUUCCGCCCUUCAGUGCUGCAGCUAACGCAUUAAGCACUCCGCCUGGGGAGUACGGUCGCAAGACUGAAACUCAAAGGAAUUGACGGGGGCCCGCACAAGCGGUGGAGCAUGUGGUUUAAUUCGAAGCAACGCGAAGAACCUUACCAGGUCUUGACAUCUUCUGACAAUUCCAGAGAUGGAACGUUCCCUUCGGGGACAGAAUGACAGGUGGUGCAUGGUUGUCGUCAGCUCGUGUCGUGAGAUGUUGGGUUAAGUCCCGCAACGAGCGCAACCCUUAUUGUCAGUUGCCAUCAUUAAGUUGGGCACUCUGGCGAGACUGCCGGUGACAAACCGGAGGAAGGUGGGGAUGACGUCAAAUCAUCAUGCCCCUUAUGACCUGGGCUACACACGUGCUACAAUGGACGGUACAACGAGUCGCUAACUCGCGAGGGCAAGCUAAUCUCUUAAAGCCGUUCUCAGUUCGGAUUGCAGGCUGCAACUCGCCUGCACGAAGUCGGAAUCGCUAGUAAUCGCGAAUCAGCAUGUCGCGGUGAAUACGUUCCCGGGCCUUGUACACACCGCCCGUCACACCAUGAGAGUUUGUAACACCCAAAGUCGGUGGGGUAACCUUUUGGAGCCAGCCGCCUAAGGUGGGACAGAUGAUUGGGGUGAAGUCGCAACAAGGUAGCCGUAGGAGAACCUGCGGCUG
rnacentral:rRNA from 1 species